GACCGUUUUGGUGCCAUCAAAAGAUCGAAUAUAACAAACGGGACACCCAGGCCUACAUUCUGUACGAUUAUAUUGAUGCUGCUACGGCUGCUGUGAAGGAAAUGCGUAUGCACCGAUUCACGAGCAGCUACCGAAGGCCGCCAUCAAGCACUGUCGACGUUUACCCUGUCACCACCAUAGCGGCUCCGGUAAUGUAGUUGUUCCCUCGUCGAAUCGGGUUGCGAAAUGCUGGAACUGAUACUAACCGUCAAGUCGGAAAGCCCCAGGAAAACGAGGACGGAAUCUCGGGCCACUGGAAGGGAAGACCAGUCACCCCCGCCAGCCAACGAUAGGUCCCUCCAUCAGGACAAUCCAACAAACUGAUUCUUCAUGCAUCCACCGAAGGCCGCAUAAACUGCCGUCCGGUACUGGCUCGACUUUUCCCCUGUCACUAUUCCUAGCGGUUCCGUCGUCGGCUAGGUUGCGGAAUGUUUAUUCUGCUGCAGGUCAAUGAAAAAGGCAAACCUCCGCAACCAAAAAAAAACAGCAGGAGACAGAAUCUCGUGUGACGGAACGAUUGCCGUAAGCUUGAGAACCGGGUGGAAACGGAUCAUCUACUCGAGGAACUCGACUUUAAGGGCCGGAUGGAACUGUACUCCCAGUCUGGUAAAUCCGUGAAGUUAUCAAGCGCUAGAACACUUGGACACUGCGGAAGGUGGCCCUCGUCGUAGGAGUCUGGCGAGCAACGAAAGGAGUCAAGCAGAAUAUAUUGAGCACGAUUAUGCUGGUACCACCAACGUAUUGUCGGCGUAGCACCAAGUUAGAAUUCGGAAGUCCGGACUUCCGAACCGAACUUUCUUCCGAAGUUUUAUUUGUCAAACUAAUUGAUGCGUUGUUUAGCGCAUCUUUAGGCGAAUCCAGCGCACUACUUCCGAAGUUGGGAAAGUUGCCUGUAUCUGGAGAAAAAUCCAACUUCGGUAUAAAAAGCGGUAUAAAUUUAUUCCGGAUAGACAAUAUUCAUCAUUGGUUAUACGCAACCACCGGACGACAGUAGCAAUGGACAUUAGUGCACACAAUUAUCACAUGGAUUACAACCGCUACGUAGACUGACCGAUACACCACCAGCACAACUAUCGCAAUAAUGUUAACGGCGGUUAUGAAAUGAUGAACAGCAAGGAUAUGGCACUGGACUUCGGUACUGUUCAAGACACACAAUGAGCAUGUA